GACGAACGCUGGCGGCGUGCUUAACACAUGCAAGUCGAACGGAAAGGCCCUGCUUUUGUGGGGUGCUCGAGUGGCGAACGGGUGAGUAACACGUGAGUAACCUGCCCUUGACUUUGGGAUAACUUCAGGAAACUGUGGCUAAUACCGGAUAGGAGCUCCUGCUGCAUGGUGGGGGUUGGAAAGUUUCGGCGGUUGGGGAUGGACUCGCGUCUUAUCAGCUUGGUGGUGGGGUAGUGGCUUACCAAGGCUUUGACGGGUAGCCGGCCUGAGAGGGUGACCGGCAACAUUGGGACUGAGAUACGGCCCAGACUCCUACGGGAGGCAGCAGUGGGGAAUAUUGCACAAUGGGCGGAAGCCUGAUGCAGCAACGCCGCGUGCGGGAUGACGGCCUUCGGGUUGUAAACCGCUUUCGCCUGUGACGAAGCGUGAGUGACGGUAAUGGGUAAAGAAGCACCGGCUAACUACGUG
rnacentral:rRNA from 1 species